rnacentral:sRNA from 1 species
GCAUUUCCGUAACGGGGAAGGAUGAGAAGCUUCGACUAAGGUUCGAUUCGAGCGUAGCGAGAAAGCGUUGCCGCAGGCAACGACCCGAAGGGCGAGGCGCACAUCAUGCAUUUCCGUAACGGGGA